CUGCAGCUCAGCAUGGCUAGGGCACUGGGAGCACCCAUUGCACUGGGGUUGUGGAGCCUGUGCUGGUCUCUGGCCAUUGCCACCCCUCUUCCUCCUGCCCAUGGGAAUGUUGCUGAAGGCGAGACCAAGCCAGACCCAGAUGUGACUGAACGCUGCUCAGAUGGCUGGAGCUUUGAUGCUACCACCCUGGAUGACAAUGGAACCAUGCUGUUUUUUAAAGGGGAGUUUGUGUGGAAGAGUCACAAAUGGGACCGGGAGUUAAUCUCAGAGAGAUGGAAGAAUUUCCCCAGCCCUGUGGAUGCUGCAUUCCGUCAAGGUCACAACAGCGUCUUUCUGAUCAAG
rnacentral:sRNA from 1 species